GGUUGAACGGAUAAUUUCCGUUUUCAAGAGUUUUAGGCUUCUGGGGUGGGAAGCU
rnacentral:ncRNA from 18 species